rnacentral:rRNA from 1 species
UACGAAGGGGGCUAGCGUUGCUCGGAAUCACUGGGCGUAAAGCGCACGUAGGCGGAUCUUUAAGUCAGGGGUGAAAUCCUGGAGCUCAACUCCAGAACUGCCUUUGAUACUGGGGAUCUCGAGUCCGGAAGAGGUGAGUGGAACUGCGAGUGUAGAGGUGAAAUUCGUAGAUAUUCGCAAGAACACCAGUGGCGAAGGCGGCUCACUGGCCCGAUACUGACGCUGAGACGCGAAAGCGUGGGGAGCAAACAGG